UCAACAUUUCUUUCGGUAUUGAUUGAAAUGGUGAGAUGGAAAGGUGAUAACGUGUACUAAAUGCUAACAAUACGCCAGGCAAUAUUUUAGGCAUUGUAUAGGUAUUGGCUCGAUAAUCACUAUAAUCUGAGGAGAUGGGUGUUGUAGUUACUUGUAUUGUACAGAUGUAGAACCUGAGGCAUAGAAUUAAGAAACUUGUCCCAAAUUAUACAAAUAUUAAGCAACAGGAUAAAAUAUCAGACGAUCUGGCCCCAAAGCCAGUUCUCCGAUCCUCUGUGUUAUGGCUUUAUGUGCUACAACUUCCAACAGAAAGGAAGGAAGCACAAGUUCCCUAGAACUUUAUGAGUAAAGAAAUGAUGUAUCUAGGAGGCUGUCUAGGAUAAGCAGUAACCCCAGGUGUUUAUACAACAUUUUACCCUUUGACUCUCUGAGGAGUUCAUCUUUGCUCUUCACCCUGCUGGAGUCCUUGCCUCAGGCCAGAAGAGUUAUCAUCAGAGCCACGCAGGAGACAGUUAGCCCUUCUGUGUUGAAAAAAUUGCUCUCUAGCCAGGCAUGGUGGCUCAUGCUUGCAAUUCCACACUUUGGGAGAAUGAGGCAGGAGGAUCGUUUGAGGCCA
rnacentral:lncRNA from 1 species